GGAGAGGUUGUGGCUCCGAGGUAUAGCAUCUGCUUGGUAUGCAGAAGGAUCCAGGUUCGAUCCCCGGCAUCUCCA
rnacentral:tRNA from 1 species